rnacentral:rRNA from 1 species
AGAGUUUGAUCAUGGCUCAGGACAAACGCUGGCGGCGUGCCUAACACAUGCAAGUCGAGCGCGAAAGGGACCUUCGGGUCCCCUGAGAGCGGCGAACGGGUGAGUAACACGUGGGCAACCUGCCUCAAGGACUGGGAUAACUCCGGGAAACCGGGGCUAAUACCGGGCGAUGUCGUCCCGCGCAAGCGGGCCGACCAAAUGGUAGCUUCGGCCUCCGCCUUGAGAUGGGCCCGCGUCCUAUCAGCUUGUUGGUGAGGUAAUGGCUCACCAAGGCUACGACGGGUAGCUGGUCUGAGAGGAUGAUCAGCCACACUGGGACUGAGAUACGGCCCAGACUCCUACGGGAGGCAGCAGUGGGGAAUUUUGCGCAAUGGGCGAAAGCCUGACGCAGCAACGCCGCGUGAGCGAAGAAGGCCUUCGGGUUGUAAAGCUCUGUCAGGGGGAAAGAAGGCACCUGGGUUAAUAGCCCAAGGGCUGACGGUACCCCCAAAGAAGC